UACAGAGGUCUCGAGCGUUAAUCGGAUUCAUUGGGCUUAAAGCGUACGUAGGCGGAUGUGCAGGCAUCGUGUGAAAUCCCCUGGCUCAACCAGGGAACUGCUCGGUGAACCGCACGUCUUGAGGCAAGUAGAGGCUGUCGGGACGAUAGGUGGAGCGGUGAAAUGCGUAGAUAUCUAUCGGAACGCCGAAGGUGAAAACAGGCAGCUGGGCUUGAUCUGACGCUGAGGUACGAAAGCGUGGGGAGCGAACAGG
rnacentral:rRNA from 1 species